UGCCCCACGUGGAUUUUAUUCUCUUGAAUUUGUUUAAUUUAGAAAGCCCAUUGGGUUAAACAAGUUGUGUAUGUAUAGAGAGAGGGGUCUCUUACAUAAAAAGGGUGAAUAAUGAUUAAGGCCCUGUCUCUUGAUGGAGAGACUGAAUCAGUGUCAAUAGUGCUGUUGUGUAACUUAAAAGUAUAAUUUGCAACAAUUAACUGAAAACAAUGUAUAGACUGGUACAAAAAUAAUCCCUCUCAAUCAUCACUUAAUGCCCAACUAUAAGUGUGUGGCAGUGUCUGUUUCUGCAGAGACCCUGCCCUCUGCCUGUAUUUUCUCUUUUCUUCUUAUUUUGCCUUACUUGGGACGCUUCUGGGCGUCUGCAAAGUGGCCUUGUGCCCCCAAUAACAGCGCACAGGGUGUGCAGCCUGUUCAGGUAGUCACUGCUUUGUCACGCCCCUCGACUUCUGAUACCGAGGUACAAGGCUAUGCAGAGUUGUGCGGAGUUAGUUGUGUGUUUUAGAACAUAACUGCCGGGAAACAAUCAGAAAAUAACGUUUUAUUUCCCUGAUUUGCUGCUUUGUUCUCACUAACGCCGCUCUCUCUCUUCAGUCACUCUAGCUCGCUCGACCACCGCUGCUCUCUCUCUCUCUUUCUCAGCUCGUUGAGCUGUAAAGGUGUCGCCAACUUUGAAUACUGUGUGUUCAUAAACAGCAACCAACAACUGUUACAUAUUAUACCUAUAAAAUACAUCUGGCAUACCUGUAGAAAGGGACCAAAUUACAAAAUCAACAAAACAUCGUCCAUUUUUCAUCUUAACCAGCUAUACAAAUUACCACAAAA